UACGUAGGGUGCGAGCGUUUAAUCGGAAUUACUGGGCGUAAAGCGUGCGCAGGCGGUUUUGUAAGCCAGAUGUGAAAGCCCCGGGCUUAACCUGGGAAAUGGCAUUUGGGACUGGCAAGGCUAGAGUGCGGCAGAGGAGACUGGAAUUCCUGGUGUAGCAGUGAAAUGCGUAGAUAUCAGGAGGAACACCGGUGGCGAAGGCGGCGACCUGGUCCUUGACUGACGCUGAGGCGCGAAAGCGUGGGAGCAAACAGG
rnacentral:rRNA from 1 species